GAAAUGAUAAGAAAUAAAUUGUGACUAGUACUUUCUGGUUUGAUGAAGAGGAAGAUGCUGUUUGUUGGAGUGAGCUGAUAAGUUUGGGUAUAGAUUUUUCCGUCCAGAUAUAGUCUAAUGUUGAUGUAGCCAUUUUUUGGUUGAAAGAUAAGUUGGAGAAUGGGAUUAGACGGUGAAUGAUUAAUGGAAAAUAACCUAGUAAAUUAGAGAAGUUGUGAUGAUAUGUGUUUGGGUAGAGUUUUAGAUAAAGUGUUAUAGAGUUGAGUUCUAUUGCGAUGACAAAUCCUGUAAGUGUAAUAAUUAGGGCUGUGAGUUUAAUAAUGGUUGGUAUAGUUAUAGUUGGAGUAUUGAUUGGGUCAAUGAAAUUUGAAAUAAUAUAU